rnacentral:rRNA from 1 species
GACGAACGCUGGCGGCGUGCCUAAUACAUGCAAGUAGAACGCAGUUGCGAACGGGUGAGUAACGCGUAGGUAACUGCCUCAUAGCGGGGGAUAACUAUUGGAAACGAUAGCUAAUACCGCAUACUGUGAGAUUGACCUGCGUUGUAAUUAGUAGGUGGUGAGGUAAAGGCUCACCCAGGCGAAGAUACAUAGCCGACCUGGGAGGGUGAACGGCCACACUGGGACUGGGACAACGGCCAGACCCCUAAGGGAGGCAGCAGGAGGGAAACGUCGGGAAUGGACGGAAGGCCGAACAAGGAACGCCGCGGGAGGGAAGAAGGGUUUCGGAUUGUAAAGCUCUGUUGUUAGAGAAGCGGUAACUAAUCAGAAAGGGACGGCUAACUACGUGCCAGCAGCCGCGGUAAUUC